rnacentral:tRNA from 1 species
GGGGCUGUAGCUCAGUUGGGAGAGUACUUGACUGGCAGUCAAGGGGUCGUGAGUUCGAAUCUCACCAGCUCCACCA